rnacentral:lncRNA from 1 species
GUGGGCGUCGCCGCCGACUUACCAACAACCGGGUCGGGGGCUCCCGGAAGUGCUCUUGCGGCUUACUGCCUGGCACAGGUGGGGCAGAGCGAGCCAGGCGAAGGGCGCCUGCGCAGGACAUGCUGGACAAAUGCGUUGUUCUUGCUGCCUGCUGCUGCGGGAGGAGGCCUUAUGGGGGAAGGUCGCGAAGUGACUGGGAUUUUUUUUCUCAUUUGUCAUUUAGUGGGCUCCGUGGCUUAAGACUUGAACCAAGUAAACGAAGUUCUCUUACUGAGAAAUCUCAGUUUCAACUGUCAUUCUUCUCUACAGAAGAGCUUCUCCUCAUCAACUGGGGAUGAUUACAGUUCUUCCUUAAAAAGUGAUAAACUCCAGGCUGUGAGGGCAGAGGCAGGAAGAGCAGUCGGGAAGCUGUUAUUGUGAUGCGGUUUUACUGUGAUGCAGUUGAGCGGCGCAGCGGUUGGGAA